GCUAGGCAUGGUGGUGCAUGCCUCUAGACCCAGUUACUCAAGAGGCUGAGGCAGGCUAGCUUUAGUCCAGGAGUUCUGGGCUAUUUGGACUGAGUGUCUGCACUAAGUUUGGCAUCAAAAUGGUGACCUCCCCUCCUUAAGGACCACCAGGUUGCCUAAGGAGGGGUGAAUAAGCCCAGGUCAGAAAUGAAGCAGGUCAAAACUCCUGUACUGAUCGUAAUGGGAUUGCACUUGUGAAUAGCCACUGCACUCUAGCCUGGGCCACAUAGUAACACUCUGACUCUA
rnacentral:SRP_RNA from 1 species